rnacentral:rRNA from 1 species
GACGAACGCUGGCGGCGUGCCUAAUACAUGCAAGUAGAACGCACAGUUUAUACCGUAGCUUGCUACACCAUAGACUGUGAGUUGCGAACGGGUGAGUAACGCGUAGGUAACCUGCCUGGUAGCGGGGGAUAACUAUUGGAAACGAUAGCUAAUACCGCAUAAUAUUGAUUAUUGCAUGAUAAUUGAUUGAAAGAUGCUAUUGCAUCACUACCAGAUGGACCUGCGUUGUAUUAGCUAGUAGGUGAGGUAACGGCUCACCUAGGCGACGAUACAUAGCCGACCUGAGAGGGUGAUCGGCCACACUGGGACUGAGACACGGCCCAGACUCCUACGGGAGGCAGCAGUAGGGAAUCUUCGGCAAUGGACGAAAGUCUGACCGAGCAACGCCGCGUGAGUGAAGAAGGUUUUCGGAUCGUAAAGCUCUGUUAUAAGAGAAGAACGGGUGUGAGAGUGGAAAGUUCACACUGUGACGGUAUCUUACCAGAAAGGGACGGCUAACUACGUG